UAGGCGUAAAUAGAUGCGAGUUAAGUGUGGGGCGAUCUACGAGAUGGCCCUGUGCUGUAGGGUAGCCGUUAAACUCGCUGCCUGGGAGUACGGUCGCAAGGCUGAAACUUAAAGGAAUUGGCGGGGGAGCACCACAAGAGGUGGAGGCUGCGGUUCAAAUUGGACUCAACGCCGGAAAUUCUUACCGGGACCGACAGCAACAUGAAGGCCAGGCUGAAGACUUUGCCGGAUUAGCUGAGAGGAGGUGCAUGGCGUAGUCGUGU
rnacentral:rRNA from 1 species